CCACCAUAAUAAUUCAGAUGUGUCUGCAAUAACAAAACAUUUUUCUCUUUUCUCAAUAGAAAAUAUCGAUAAACCAAAACCCAUUUCUCUUUCUCAAUAGCAGCGUUCUUUUUCUUUCUUUCUCAGGUAAACCAAAACCAGUUUCUCUUUCUCGAUAGCUGCUACUAGAAAAGGAUUUUGCAAAACGUUUUCUUAGGUUUCUCUUUCUUAGCUGCUACAUCACCCGUUUCUUAGGUUGCAAAACCAAAUUGCAAAUCUCAAUAGCAGGUUUCACCGAGAUUCAUUUUAAAGGAGAGAGAAAAAUGAUCCAUUUCUCAGUUUGGACCUUUUGCUUUUGCAACUUUGGCUUGCUAAUCAAGUUUAAAGAGGAAGGUGAAGAAAACUAAAAUAACAAGGCAAAGUUAUUACUUCUCUGCAUAAGGGGUUCUGAAUCUGUAACAAAUCUCAGUAAACAUGUUUCUCACUAGGAGUGGAAUUUGGGCUCGAAAACUCUAAACAUGAAAAGGUUCCAUUUCUCAGAUUCGAGUUCUUAGCUUUAGUUUUAGUAUCAAAAUAGCAUCUGGGAAUAGAUAAAUGGAAAAUCCAUUUCUUAGUUAAAUCGAAAAUCAAGUAUUGUAGCUUUCUUAGGUAAAUCAAAAACCCUUUCUCAGAUAAUAAAUUUUCAAAGCAUCUGUGAAGAAAGUGUUACUCAAGAGGGAAAAUUGAUUUUCGAAGCGUCUGUGACAGAAAUUGAAUUUUGGGGGUGAAUUUUGUGAGGAGAAGGAAAUUGGAAAUCGAUUGAAGAAGAAGCUCGUUAAGGAAAGUGAAGGUUGGGAUACCCCGAAGCUAGUGAUAAAGUUGAUUGAAGGAAGUUGAUCCAACUGUGGAGAAUGACGAUACAAUUAGAUCAAAUGGAAUGACGAUACGAUUAGAUCAAAUGGAAGUGGAAUGGAUGAUUUUCUGUCUGAUUUGGCAAAUUGUUAUUCCUGGAAUUGAUGAAGCUAUGAGUUUUGCUGAGAUGCUCAAAUGACUUCAAGGGACCAAGUCCCUGGAUGUUCGAGGCAACAACACAAUUGGAACGCGCCAGCACAGCUUUGCCCAUUUGUGUAACUAAUUGGAAGGUGUUGUUUGUACUAAUUAGGACACGUGGUCCUAAAUUUGAAGAAAAUUUUGAAGUAACCGGUGAUAUUUUAGGAAAAACUAAUUAAAGAUUAAAAUCUGUAUUGAAGGUCACAAAUGACAAGGUUAUAAGAACUUUGUCCGAAAUUAAGCUCUAAAUAUUCAGUAAAAAGGCAUUAUUAUAAAAAAAAAAACACAUUUUCAGA